rnacentral:rRNA from 1 species
GGCUUGAAUGAAAGGUUUGACGGAGGAAUAACUGUCUCUUUAAUUUAUAUUGAAUUUAACGUUUAUGUGAAAAGGCAUUAAUGAAUUAGAGGGACGAUAAGACCCUAUAAAAUUUUACAUACAAUAUAUUUUAAUAAAAUUGUUAUAAUAAUGAUUAAAUUAUAUGAUUAUGUUUUACUGGGGCGGUAAGAAUAUAAAUUUUAACUGUUUUAAAUAUAAAAUACUUAUAAGUAGAUGAUGGUCCUUUAUUGAGGAGUAAAGAGUAAAUUACUUUAGGGAUAACAGCAUAAUUUCUUUUAAGAGUUCUUAUCGAAGAAGAAAGUUGUGACCUCGAUGUUGAAUUAAAUUUUCCYUUAGGUGYAGGAGUUUUAGGGGAGGG